UUGGCUUCUACUUGAAAGCAGUCAGUGGAUGUAAGAAUAGCAGCUGAUCUUCCUGGCCACCUGUUGCCCUGAUCUUACUUUGGGCCAGCAGCAUAAGGUUAUGCUAUGGUUGAACCCAGGAAGAGCAAUAAAGUAACCACAGCCUAUUUUGCAAUACCUUCUUUUUGAAAGAAGCUUAAGAGUUUCUUAACCCAAGCCCUGCAAAACAACAACAACAGCAAAAAACAACGAAAAGAUUUACUGAGAGAGAUACAAAGAAGAAAUUACACUGCUCGCCUAGGACUGAGGCCUUCAAGUUCUGGUCACGGUUCAAAACUGUUUCUGUAUCUUCCAACAGAAUCUCACUGGAAACAAACAGUCAAAGCCCUACAGAUGGUAUUAGGCUGAACUUAAAUUUCCCAUUCUAAACUAGCUUCUUAACAGAGGAAUUGUGUGCGCUGCAGUGUAAUGAUCUAGCAUGUUGUAGUUACUCACUAAAAUGUUAGGGACAAAGGAGACAGUAAUUGUGAACUGUAAUAGUCUUUUUCCCUCUUGAGUUACAGCAUCUGUUAAAGGUAAUUUAUUCUUAUUCACAGAUAAUAUUUAUCAUGGAAUUAAAAAUGUCAUCUUUCAUUCCUGUCUAGAAGUAACAGGAAUCAGAAUAUGUAUAACUUACAGCUACAAUACAUGACUUGCAUAUAAAACUACUCUUGAUAUUAAAUUUAAUAAUUGCUUUUAUUAAACAGUGCUAUUUACAGUACCAUUCAUUCUUUAAAUUCUGUUUUCAUAAGCACAAUUUGUCUAAUACCAUGAGAUAUAAAAUAAUCUAGCGAAAUACAGAUGAAAUUUUGUAUCUAGGUAGGAUCAAUGCGCACAAAUCCAUUGGCCCUGAUGGGAUGCAUCCAUCCAUCCAGCUGAGGGAGCUGGCAGAGGUUAUUGCUGAACUGCACUCUAUCAUCUUUGUCAAGUCUUGGUGAACAGGAGAGGUACCUGAAGGCUGGAGGAUAGCCAGUGUUACUUUGGUCUUCAAAAAGGGCAAGGAGGACCUAGGAAAUUACAGGCCAGUCAGUCUCACCUCUGUCCCUAGAAAAGUGAUGGAAGAGAUUGUUCUAGAUGCCAUCUCCAAGCAAUUGGAAGAGAAGUUCAUCAGGAAUAGUCAGAAUGGAUUCACCAAGGGAAAAUUGUGUUUGACCAAACUCAUAGACUUCUAUGAUGGCAUCACCAGCUGGGUAGAUGGGGGAGAGCACUGGAUGUUGUCUACCUUGUCUUCAGCAAGGCUUUUGAUACUGUCUCACACAACAUCCUGAUAAUGAAGCUGAAAAAGUGUGGGGUAGGUGGUGAGGUGGGUUGAGAACUGGUUGACUGGCUGAGCUGAGAGAGCGGUGAUCAGCGGUGCGGUUGGAGACCUGUGACUAGCGAUAUCUCCCAGGGCUCAGUGCUGGUUCCAGUCUUGUUCAGUAACUUCAUUAACAACCUUGAUGAGGGGAUAGUGUCCACCCUCAGCAAGAAUGCUGAUGAUAUAAAGCUGGGAGGAGUGGCUGACGCAUUCGGAAGGCUGUGCUGCCAUUCAGCAAAACCUGGACAGACUAGAGAGUUGGGCAGCAAUUAACCAGAUGAGGUUUAUCAAGAGCGUAUGUGUUGUGUUGCACCUGGGAAGGAAUUACUGCAAGUACCAGUACAGGCGGGGACAUGGCCUGCCAGAGAGGAGCUCUGCAGAGAAGGACCAGGGGAUCCUGGUGCAUAAAAGGUUGGCCAUGAGUUGGCAGUGUGCCCUGGUGGACAAGGAAGCCAAUACUGAUCCUCCUCCUCUA